rnacentral:rRNA from 1 species
UACGAGGGGGGCGAGCGUUGUUCGGAAUUAUUGGGCGUAAAGGGUGCGUAGGCGGUUUGGUAAGUCUGAUGUGAAAUCUAUGGGCUCAACUCAUAGUCUGCAUCGGAAACUGCCGGGCUUGAGUGUGGGAGAGGUGAGUGGAAUUCCUGGUGUAGCGGUGAAAAUGCGUAGAUAUCAGGAGGAACACCUGUGGCGAAAAGCGGCUCACUGGACCAUAACUGACGCUGAUGCACGAAAAGCUAGGGGGAGCAAACAGG